AAAGCAGACGAGAUAAUCGCGCCCGCCUUUGGCUGGCGAGGAAAGUCCGAACUCCAUAAGGCACGGCGCCGCCAGAGUUCUGAGGAAUCGGAGCAAUGGCGGGUAUACAGACCGAGAGGCUUGUGUAACGGAAUAGUGGAACAGAAACCAAACCGUUCCGACUCUGUCGGGAUAAGGGUGAAACAGUGCGGUAAGAGCGCACUGGAGCGUCAGUGAUGGCGUCUCCGGCCAAACCCCGCCGGGAGCAAGAUCAAAUAAGAAUGUGUUUCCUUCACGGAAAAAGAACCGCCUGUUCGAUUCGCGAGAGCAUAUUCGGGUAGAUCGCAUUUCGUUUCAUGAAGGCUAUCUUCGGAUACCGGAUCGAGCGGAGUAUACGCUUCGGCGUGUAAGAUAAAUGAUUAUCCACGACAGAAUUCGGCUUAUUGUCUGCUUUUUUU
rnacentral:RNase_P_RNA from 1 species